UACGGAAGGCAGCAGUGGGGAAUAUUGCACAAUGGGCGAAAGCCUGAUGCAGCCAUGCCGCGUGUAUGAAGAAGGCCUUCGGGUUGUAAAGUACUUUCAGUCGUGAGGAAGGUGUUAAGGUUAAUAACCUUAGCAAUUGACGUUAGCGACAGAAGAAGCACCGGCUAACUCCGUGCCAGCAGCCGCGGUAAUACGGAGGGUGCGAGCGUUAAUCGGAAUUACUGGGCGUAAAGGGCACGCAGGCGGUUAAUUAAGUUGGAUGUGAAAUCCCCGGGCUUAACCUGGGAAUGGCAUUCAAGACUGGUUAGCUAGAGUCUUGUAGAGGGGGUAGAAUUCCAUGUGUAGCGGUGAAAUGCGUAGAGAUGUGGAGGAAUACCGGUGGCGAAGGCGGCCCCCUGGACAAAGACUGACGCUCAUGUGCGAAAGCGUGGGGAGCAAACAGGGAUUAGAUACC
rnacentral:rRNA from 1 species